rnacentral:rRNA from 1 species
CCUACGGGUGGCAGCAGUGAGGAAUAUUGGUCAAUGGGCGGGAGUCUGAACCAGCCAAGUAGCGUGAAGGAUGAAGGUCCUAUGUGUUGUAAACUUCUUUUAUAAAGGGAUAAAGCGGGCCACGUGUGGCUGUUUGCGUGUACUUGAUGAAUAAGCAUCGGCUAACUCCGUGCCAGUAGCCGCGGUAAUACGGAGGAUGCGAGCGUUAUCCGGAUUUACUGGGUGUAAAGCGAUCGUAGAUGGGUUGUCAAGUCAGGUGUGAAAGCUCGGGGCUCAACCGUGAAACUGCCAUUGAUACUGGCAGUCUGGAGUACAGGUGAGGUAAGUGGAAUUCGUGGUGUAGGAGUGAAAUCCGUAGAUAUCUGGAAGAACACCAGUGGCGAAGGCAACUAUCUAACCCGUGACUGACAUUGAUGAUCGAAAGCGUGGGUAGCAAACAGGAUUAGAUACCCUGGUAGUC